rnacentral:lncRNA from 1 species
UAAAAGAAAGUGUACAAUUUUUUUACCACAAAUCUUUUAAAUUAUAACACAACAAUGGCAAAGGUCUUUACAGUAAAGACAUUAAUUUAUUCAAACUAAAGGACACAAACAUCAACGAAACUCUUCGAAAUUAAAAUAUGAAACAUUUUAGCUUAGAAACACAAUUAGAUAUUUUCAAGAAUAAAAGACAUUUUCCAUGUUCAAUAGGAAUGCACCCUUCGUGGAAUUCCUGCAAAAUUAACAAUAUUGGGAGUCAAAAUUCACAAAAUAUAUAUAGAGAAAUGAUAUAAUAAGUAUUGGUGCUUAUCUUGUUCUAAGUACCGAUGA